rnacentral:pre_miRNA from 1 species
AAAUGAUGAUGAUGAUGAUGAUGAUGAUGAUGAUGAUGAUGAUGAUGAUUAUGUCAAAAAGUGUCGUCGUCGUCGUUUGUCACCUUUCAACUUUUCAU